AAGUUGAAGGUGGAAUUUAUAAAGAUAAUUCAUCCCCAAAUGCUCAAAUUACAGCAAUAGUUGCACUUUAUAAUUUAGCGAAUGAUAAGGAAAGAAUGACCUCAAUAAUUGAUGAAUCAAGGGUUUUGAUUGUUGUUCAAGUUUUAGGGGACUCGUCGAUGAGUGUUCAAAUAAGAGUUGCAAAUUUGGUGGCUAGAAAGGCGGAACAUUGUCCACUGGCACAAGAGGAUUUUGCAAGGGAGAACGUGAUUAGGGCGCUUGUUAUGUUGUUAUAGUUUGAUGUAUUAAUGGAUGAUCCAAAGAUUAGAGUUGGGAAAUGGAGUAGAAAUC
rnacentral:lncRNA from 1 species